CGUAGGUGGCAAGCGUUGUCCGGAAUUAUCGGGCGUAAAGCGCGCGCAGGCGGUCCUUUAAGUCUGAUGUGAAAGCCACGGCUCAACCGUGGAGGGUCAUUGGAAACUGGGGGACUUGAGUACAGAAGAGAAGAGUGGAAUUCCACGUGUAGCGGUGAAAUGCGUAGAGAUGUGGAGGAACACCAGUGGCGAAGGCGACUCUUUGGUCUGUAACUGACACUGAGGCGCGAAAGCGUGGGGAGCAAACAGGAUUAGAUACCCUGGUAGUCCACGCUGUAAACGAUGAGUGCUAAGUGUUAGAGGGUUUCCGCCCUUUAGUGCUGCAGCUAACGCAUUAAGCACUCCGCCUGGGGAGUACGGCCGCAAGGCUG
rnacentral:rRNA from 1 species